AGAAGAAACAUCACAAAGGACACCGUGGGAAAUCAGAUUCAGAUAUUCAAAAAGCAGUGCAAUUAGUGGGGAAACUUUCUUCUGCUACAUGAUUCACAGGUUCACCACACCAGCUUCAACAAUAACCAGCCAUGUCCAGCCUCGUUCUCGUCUUCUGCCUCCGGAUUUGGACUGCUCUGCCUUCAGCCCCACGGCCUGCUUUGCUUUGCCAUUCCAAGCCCACCUCAGCCAUCAUUUCACUCAAGCCUUCAGCCCCCAUCUUCAAACUACAAUGAACUGCCAUUAACUAUUCCCAGUUUCCUGGUUGUGUUUGUAUUUGGGUCCUAAGUUAAACUGUUGUUCUAUUGUUGCUCACUACUGUUUUUAAUAUUUGUUCAGCCCUUUGUGAUAUUGGGCUAUAAUAAACUUUGACCUCACUGGAGUACUUCAAUAGGGAAUGCAGACAAUAAGCUAAAAUUGUGUUGCAUUUUAUCCACUAACACAGAAAAUCACUUUUAGGCAACUGGAACCUUUUUGUUUAAACCAAAUUGAUCUUCUAACCAAAGGUGAGCACAUGACAGGGCAAUGUAAUUAAUUCACCAAAAAGGCAAAGAUAUUGCAGUUUACAGUUUAGGCAUGUCGUCAUUUCAUCCAGACCAUUUCAAAUAAGUGAAAAUUCCUCAGAUAUCAACAGGGUAUUUAUACACUAGCAAGGAGAUUCAGAGUGCUGUAAAAGCAAUGAAAGGAGCAGUAAUCAAGACAGUAAGCUGGAUCUGUGUCAGUUGUACUGUUUUGUAACAGUGCUUUCUUUCUCUAACAGGAGCUACUUCAGCACAAGGAGGGACUGUGUGUUUUCUCAGCUGGUGCUGUAGAUUCUGUCCCUCACAUGUGAAAAGUGUCAUAUGGAUGUGUAUUGAGCUUCGGGUCAUUUAGCUCCUAUCUGCAAGGAUGCUCUUACGUUGUACAGCUCAAACACCACAGACCUGUUACCUAUGUACAUUAUGAUUUGUGGGUAUUUUCUUGUGACGGCAGUGUUUAUUAGUUGCAUGUUGUCAGUGAGUGGCAUGGAGAGUUUCCAUCCUCUUGUAGGUAUGAAGAAACUAAGGAGAGUGUUAAUUAUAGAAGAGAACUUGUUAUACAAGCAAUCAAUAUUAACACCAUUCAACAAUAGUACAGGCACUGUUAUAAAUGAGACAGAAUAAUCACACAAGCUUAAAAGCAUCAUCAAGACGUCAUCAUAAAAUUCAAUAUUUGCACAUUUGCUGAAUUAGUAUCUUGAUUCCAAGUAAAAUGUAGAUAAGAAACACAAAAAUGAGACAGCUGUAACAGAAGAGAGUUGUGUACAUUGCCUAUUGACUUGAUAGGAGCAGUGUCAGGUGUGUGUGUGUACAUGGCAGCACAUUUUAUUUCCAGCUCACAUAUUGCUGACAGUGUGAGCAGCUAGGAGCCUGGCUGACCUUGGCCCUGUCUUUCUGCUUUUGACGGAUGAAGGGAAGCUAGCUGUCCCUUUUAGCAACCAGUUUACCACUGCUCAUUUCAGGAAUAUAAAUGACCAUUUCUCGAACUUUUUAAUUAUAUCCCUGAGACUCGAUUCCUGACAGUAUUUGUGAAUAUGGUUAUUAACUUUUGAUGGAUGACAUGGCUUGAGGACUACUUUUUGCUAAACAAAGAGGAUCCAGUCUAAUUU